UACGUAGGGUGCGAGCGUUGUCCGGAAUUACUGGGCGUAAAGAGCUCGUAGGUGGUUUGUCGCGUUGUUCGUGAAAACCGGGGGCUUAACCCUCGGCGUGCGGGCGAUACGGGCAGACUGGAGUACUGCAGGGGAGACUGGAAUUCCUGGUGUAGCGGUGGAAUGCGCAGAUAUCAGGAGGAACACCGGUGGCGAAGGCGGGUCUCUGGGCAGUAACUGACGCUGAGGAGCGAAAGCGUGGGGAGCGAAUAGG
rnacentral:rRNA from 1 species